CAGAAAGUAGUUUUAAUUAGAAUGUUAGCUUUGCGGAUUAGUGGUGGAGGUGAGACUCCUUCCUUUCUGA
rnacentral:tRNA from 1 species